UUGCCAGGCCACACAGCCCAGGGCAGGCAGCAGCAGGACCCCACUAGGGCUGGGGAGGGUGACGGUGCCCAGCGGGCCCUGGGGCAUCUGCCAGGCUCCAGCCCAAACUCCCGGGCCUGUCCCAACAAAUCACCCCCACCCCGCUCCCCAAACAUUUCUGGCUUCUGAAGCAGCUUCCCUCCCCGGGUCUGGCUGCCAGCGGCUCCCAGCAGACACACGGGACUCUGCCAUCCCCUGCCCUGGCCCGGCCGGCCCUGAGAGCCACAUGCCCAGACAGCGAGAAUGAUGGCCCUGCGGGCAGGUGCAGGAGUUAACAGCCCCUCCUGGCUGUCUCAGCACCGAGCAAGGAAGCCUGGGACUGCCGACUCGGCCUGGCCUCCUUGGGUGAAAAGGACUUUCCACCAUUGCAGCCGAUGCCCAAACAGGGCUGGGCGCCCCACCUCUGCCUCCCCGCCCAGCAUGCCCUGGGCCCGCACUCAGCAGUUCCGGACGGGCCCAGCGCCUGGCAGGGGCCCAGCUGGCAUGGGCUGGGCUGGAUUAACUCUCGAGGAGCCUGGAGGAGUCCUGGGUGCCAGCCAGAUGGCCCAGGGCUCCCCUCUGAAACCAGCUGCAGGAGCUGAGGGAGCUUCGAAGGUCGCCCAGCUCCUUCCACCAAGCCCGUCUCGCUGGCUCCAGCUCCUCCUCCACCCAGGACACACAGGGAUGUGCAGCCUCCGUUCUCUGCUAUGGCUGGGACAGCAGCAAAAGAUGGUCCAAGUCCUUGGGCCCCUGCACCCGCAUGGGAGACCCAGAGGAAGCUCCUGGCUCCUGGCUUCGGAUCAGCCAAGCUCCAGACGUUUUGGCCAUUUGGGGAGUGAACCAGCAGAUGGAAGACCUUUCUUUCUGUCUCCCCCUCUUUCUGUCUGUAACUCUGCCUCUCAAAUACAUAAAUCUUUAAAAAAUACACUCAUUUUUUUUUUUUUUUAAAA